AGUAAAUUAAAAGUUAAGAAGUAUUUUAACAAAUGUAGAAAACCAAACACGAACAAAAAUAAUUUAAUCGAAACAAGAUAAGUAUAUUUUAUUAUACUUUUUCGCGUAAUGGAAAUUGGGAUUUUAUAGAUUUUUUAAUUUUGUUAAACAACGCGUAAGACGAGCAACUUUCAUGUACGAAAACUAAAACUACUUCUUUUGAUGACUUUGAAGUCUAUCGAAAAUUUUCUUCUGCGCUCUCUCACAAACUGUCAGUGUACGAGAGAAAUAAAGUGAUGUAAAAAAUUAAAUAAAAUAAAAAUAAAGUAAAAUAUGCGAAUAAAAACGCAAACAUUAA